rnacentral:rRNA from 1 species
UACGUAGGGUGCGAGCGUUGUCCGGAAUUACUGGGCGUAAAGAGCUCGUAGGUGGUUUGUCGCGUUGUCCGUGAAAACUCACAACUCAAUUGUGGGCGUGCGGGCGAUACGGGCAGACUGGAGUACUGCAGGGGAGACUGGAAUUCCUGGUGUAGCGGUGGAAUGCGCAGAUAUCAGGAGGAACACCAGUGGCGAAGGCGGUUACCUGGAGCUUUGCUGACGCUGAUGCGCGAAAGCGUGGGGAGCGAUCCGG